UACCAGCUGAAUAAUUUAUAGGUUUAAACAAAUAUUUUGUUUUCUAUUGAUCGGCCUUGCAUAGCACUACCGACUGUGAAAAGGUUAUCGCUGAUAGUUCCCUUCCAUUGAUUAGACACUGAGGAGAGAGUUCAGUUGAGCUGAGCUUCUGGCUGUGCGAUCAUUACUCAGUUCACAAUGCUGCCAGUGACAAUAGUGCUCUGUAGUUUGGUCUUGGGGGCGCACCUAAUCUUGGUACUAGGCCUUAAGAACGAUCUUGAGGGAGGCGCUAAUAACGUUGUAGUUGAAUCGGAUGAGUGCAAAGAAGAUGAUUGCCCUUGUGCGACCUCCAGCUUAGGUUGUCCUGCGGUGGUUCGUGCUUUACCCUGUAAACAAAUCGAUGCUGUCAACUAAAAAGUGAAUGAAAUACAGAUUACAAUUAAAUAAAACCAAAAUUUGUGUUUAUUCCGAUUUUGGUUUGGUAUACAUGCUUGAACUUAGCCAAUAAAUCUAUAUA